rnacentral:piRNA from 1 species
UUCACAAUUGUGUCCCCCACUGAUGGGUGCUU